rnacentral:rRNA from 1 species
UAGGGAAUCUUCCACAAUGGACGCAAGUCUGAUGGAGCAACGCCGCGUGAGUGAAGAAGGUCUUCGGAUCGUAAAGCUCUGUUGUUGGUGAAGAAGGAUAGAGGCAGUAACUGGUCUUUAUUUGACGGUAAUCAACCAGAAAGUCACGGCUAACUACGUGCCAGCAGCCGCGGUAAUACGUAGGUGGCAAGCGUUGUCCGGAUUUAUUGGGCGUAAAGCGAGCGCAGGCGGAAUGAUAAGUCUGAUGUGAAAGCCCACGGCUCAACCAUGGAACUGCAUCGGAAACUGUCAUUCUUGAGUGCAGAAGAGGAGAGUGGAAUUCCAUGUGUAGCGGUGGAAUGCGUAAAUAUAUGGAAGAACACCAGUGGCGAAGGCGGCUCUCUAGUCUGCAACUGACGCUGAGGCUCGAAAGCAUGGGUAGCGAACAGG